rnacentral:rRNA from 1 species
GAUGAACGCUGGCGGCGUGCCUAAUACAUGCAAGUCGAGCGAACAGACGAGGAGCUUGCUCCUUUGACGUUAGCGGCGGACGGGUGAGUAACACGUGGGUAACCUACCUAUAAGACUGGGAUAACUUCGUGAAACCGGAGCUAAUACCGGAUAAUAUUUCGAACCGCAUGGUUCGAUAGUUAAAGAUGGCUUUGCUAUCACUUAUAGAUGGACCUGCGCCGUAUUAGCUAGUUGGUAAGGUAACGGCUAACCAAGGCAACGAUCCUGAGCGGACCUGAGAGGGGGACAGGCAAAAUUGAAACUGGGAACCGGCCAAGCCUCCAAGGGGGGGCAGAAGGAGGGAAUCUGCAGAAAUGGGGGAAAGCCUGACGGAGCAACGCGGCGUGAGUGAUGAAGGUCUUCGGAUCGUAAAACGCUGUUAUUAGGGAAGAACAAAGGUGUAAGUAACUGUGCACAUCUGGACGGAACCAAAGCAGAAGGCCCCGGCUACUUACGU